rnacentral:rRNA from 1 species
UACGUAGGGUGCGAGCGUUGUCCGGAAUUAUUGGGCGUAAAGGGCUCGUAGGCGGUUUGUCACGUCGGGAGUGAAAACUCAGGGCUCAACCCUGAGCGUGCUUCCGAUACGGGCAGACUAGAGGUAUGCAGGGGAGAACGGAAUUCCUGGUGUAGCGGUGGAAUGCGCAGAUAUCAGGAGGAACACCGGUGGCGAAGGCGGGUCUCUGGGCAGUAACUGACGCUGAGGAGCGAAAGCGUGGGGAGCGAACAGG